UCAUAAAACUAUAAAAAUGUGAUAUUAUAUGAUCCAACUCCUAACGGUCCUAUCUUGUCAUUCUUGGAUUUUUGAUUGAUGUUCACACUUUUCUCCACAGAGUGAGGUACUAUCGAAAGAGGUGAUGACCAGCACGGACAUCCUGCAGAGCUCCUCCACAGAGAUCCGAGAUGUGAAGAGCACGCUGCAAGCUCUGCAGAUUGGGUUCCAGACCUUGUUGAGCAUGGUGGGAUACUAGAAAAUGACAAUGUCCCCCGAUGCAAAAACAAAUUCUGUUGUGUUGAAAAGACCUAAUUCGAAACAUGCAUUAACUUUUAGAUGACUUUAGAGUGGGGUGAUAAAGCAACACACAAGAAAUUACAGAAAUAAUAACACUUUUUUGCAUUCACAUUUCUUGCUGUCCACCUGAAAUCACAUGAUGUAUCCAUACCAUAUGCAUUAAACUCAUUGCCUUUCCUUUCGGUCACAGAAAGCAUCAGUGGAAGGUAACCUCUUUGAGACAGAGCCGUUACUCCACCAUGCCUAAUUAUCAGAUACACGUCACCAGCAUGGAGGAACAGUUGGGAAAUCUCACGGCUUACAUGAAGCGUCAGGGACACGAAUUCCAGAUGCUGCUGGACAUCAAGACCAGGCUGGAGAUGGAGAUUGCGGAGUACAGGAGACUACUGGAAGGAGAGGGUAGUGAGCGGUGGAAUGUCCUCCAGCAUGACCACGAUGGGGAAAGUAGUGAACGGCAGGGAUCGUCUGAGUAACAGUGGAAUGUCCUCAUCCACCACAACCACGACCGUGAUCACUAGGAUGGAGGAUAGAGGGGCUAGUCUGGACCUGGAGUGGGAAAACUAUUAGGACUUAAAAAUGUAUGAUAUGCUGUUGGUUUUGUGGCAGUGCAAUAUUUAAAUGUCAUUCAUCUCUUUAUAACUUAUGUGUCUUGUAGUAACAUCGGUGGAUGAUACUCCCCCACAACCAAGACAGUGACCAUGGUGGAUGGGGAAUCAAUGUGCAGUAGCAGCUCCACGGUGGUAUCUGUGAUAAAGGAGGUGGUUGAGAUGGCCUCAUGCCAUACCGAGUCACACACCGAAUGAGGUUCUAGUCAUAGCUGGGGUCAACCCAACUAAAUCAACUAAUAAAGCUAUU